UACGUAGGGGGCAAGCGUUGUCCGGAAUCAUUGGGCGUAAAGAGCGUGUAGGCGGUUCGGUAAGUCGGCUGUGAAAGUCCAGGGCUCAACCCUGGGAUGCCGGUCGAUACUGCCGGACUAGAGUUCGGAAGAGGCGAGUGGAAUUCCCGGUGUAGCGGUGAAAUGCGCAGAUAUCGGGAGGAACACCUAUGGCGAAGGCAGCUCGCUGGGACGUUAACUGACGCUGAGACGGCGAAAGCCAGGGGAGGCAAACGGG
rnacentral:rRNA from 1 species